CACAUACCUCUGCCUACAGCUAUGUCUAGAGAUUUCUCUGUUCAGUAAAUCUGGAUCCUGUCAAGUGACAGUCAGUAUUAACUGUGGAGCAGCGGGGAUCCACAUAAAUACUGUGAACGAAAGCACUGCAAGGCCCUCCGACACCCUGGGGAAACACUCAGCCACACCCCAACCUGGAAGCUCUUCCUAGCAGAACCUUCCUGAGCUGCCUCUCAUGCCAAGUCAGCAAAGUCCAGAGGCCAACGGGGGACGUGACCCUCAGGCAUGGGCACCAGGACACAUGACAGGCACUCCAUAGUCACCACUGCUAUCGGACGUUCUUUGUGAGUAUCCAGACGGCUCCAACCAGGCCACACUGCUCCUGUCCACCACGGUUCUCAGAGCCUGCCUAACCGUGGCAUAGGUGCGGCUUGUGACCUCCCCAGCCCCCCCCCACACACACACACUGCCACAUCUCCAGCUGGGCCUUCUACAUGCAACCUUGGGUGCAACUUCUCGGGUAUUAUCCACUUAAACAGAUCUCUUAAAGUUUGGGGCUAGAGAGAUGGCUCAGAGGUUAAGAGAACUGACUGCUGUUCCGGAGGUCCUGAG